UACGUAGGGUGCAAGCGUUAAUCGGAAUUACUGGGCGUAAAGCGUGCGCAGGCGGUUCUAUAAGACAGAUGUGAAAUCCCCGGGCUCAACCUGGGAACUGCAUUUGUGACUGUAGAGCUGGAGUACGGUAGAGGGGGAUGGAAUUCCUGGUGUAGCAGUGAAAUGCGUAGAUAUCAGGAGGAACAUCGAUGGCGAAGGCAGCCCCUUGGACCUGUACUGACGCUCAUGCACGAAAGCGUGGGGAGCAAACAGG
rnacentral:rRNA from 1 species